AUAAACAAAUUGUAGAGCUGAGUAUUUAUUGAAACUUCUAAGAGAGUCUCUGUUUGGUGAAAAGAGAUGAAGGGCAGAUAAAGAAGAUGGGCUUAAAAUCAAUCACUAGUGAGUUUUUAGUAAUUAGCUAGUGGCGGGAUUGCUACCGAUAUCUUAGCAAAAUUUUUCUGAUUGAGACGCGUCAUCAGAGAAGUUUACGAGGCAGAUUCCAGUGAUGGUCUCUGUAAACUAAGGUGGUACCACGAAAGCAUUCGUCCUUUUA
rnacentral:ncRNA from 1 species